CACAGAAAGAUAAACUUCAAAGAAAUAUAUAGUAUUAAUAAGAACUUACUAUUUAAGGACCUCAAGGUAAAGUAAAAAAUCCCAAGUUGUCACAUUACAAUCUCUUCAGUGCUUCUCCAUUCAUUUCCAAUCAAUGGUAAAGUGUUGCAGUGAUUUUCUCCAGAUUGGAAAUCAAAUUAAGUCUAAAAUAGGGUAAGAUAUCCAAAUAUAAACAUGCCUGACUUGCUUCUGUCAUCUUUCUUUAAAGCUCUGAAGGUAAUACACAAAGGCAUCACAAGAAAGGAGGUUGAACCACAGACUUCCAAAACCAGAAGUGAAAUUAAAGUGAAGAAAUGGAGGCAGAACAUGGUGACAUGAUCUAAUACUUUUUCAAGAUCCAUUUCAACCAUCCUAUACCUCCUGGGAAAAACAAAGGCAAACAGCUGGCAAGUAAAAUAUGCUAUACUUUGGGCAACUCUGCCUCAUGAGUCUAUGAGAGAUGACUGGUUAUCAAAACACUGAGCAGAAUAGAUGGUACAAAAAUAUGUAUGAAUUAAGUGUAUUGGAAAAGGUGGAAAAAUAAAGCUAAUUUGAUUGCUUUUUCUCUGAAA